AGACACCUUUAUCUCCAAUGUCUCAACAGCCUAAUUUGACACAUGAGGAGACAAUGAUUGAAUCAGCUGCAUCUCCAAAGUCUCAACAAAAUGAGGAUUACACGCAACCAUCGAGUGAGACGCCUUUAUCUCCAAUGUCUCAACAGCCUAAUUUGACACAUGAGGUAUGUAACCAAUAAAAUAUUGUUGAGUUUUGAAGUAAUAUUUGGAAGCUUUUGUACAUAUUCUUGAAUGCAUUCUUGAUUUUUGCAGGAGACAAUGAAUGAAUCAGAUGAUGAAACUCCUGCCCUUGAUACUCAAGUAUUCUCUCCUAAUCUGACAAAAGAGGUAUAUGCUCAAUGAUAUUGUUUUCACAGUUGGAGUUUACAAAUUAGUUUUGGGUGAUUUUUUUUUACAUAUAAAGGCUUUUCUGAU